rnacentral:rRNA from 1 species
UACGUGAGGGUGCAAGCGUUGUCCGGAAUUAUUGGGCGUAAGGGAGCUCGUAGGCGGUCUGUCGCGUCGGCUGUGAAAUCUCGGGGCUCAACCCCGAGCCUGCAGUCGAUACGGGCAGACUAGAGUGCUGUAGGGGAGACUGGAAUUCCUGGUGUAGCGGUGGAAUGCGCAGAUAUCAGGAGGAACACCGGUGGCGAAGGCGGGUCUCUGGGCAGUAACUGACGCUGAGGAGCGAAAGCGUGGGGAGCGAACAGG